AGGGUUUGAUUAUGGCUCAGAUUGAACGCUGGCGGCAUGCCUUACACAUGCAAGUCGAACGGCAGCACGGGGGCAACCCUGGUGGCGAGUGGCGAACGGGUGAGUAAUACAUCGGAACGUGUCCUGUAGUGGGGGAUAGCCCGGCGAAAGCCGGAUUAAUACCGCAUACGCUCUGCGGAGGAAAGCGGGGGCUCCUUCGGGACCUCGCGCUACAGGGGCGGCCGAUGGCAGAUUAGCUAGUUGGUGGGGUAAAGGCCUACCAAGGCGACGAUCUGUAGCUGGUCUGAGAGGACGACCAGCCACACUGGGACUGAGACACGGCCCAGACUCCUACGGGAGGCAGCAGUGGGGAAUUUUGGACAAUGGGCGCAAGCCUGAUCCAGCAAUGCCGCGUGUGUGAAGAAGGCCUUCGGGUUGUAAAGCACUUUUGUCCGGAAAGAAAACCUCAGCCCUAAUACGGCGGGGGGAUGACGGUACCGGAAGAAUAAGCACCGGCUAACUACGUGCCAGCAGCCGCGGUAAUACGUAGGGUGCAAGCGUUAAUCGGAAUUACUGGGCGUAAAGCGUGCGCAGGCGGUCCGCUAAGACAGAUGUGAAAUCCCCGGGCUUAACCUGGGAACUGCAUUUGUGACUGGCGGGCUAGAGUAUGGCAGAGGGGGGUAGAAUUCCACGUGUAGCAGUGAAAUGCGUAGAGAUGUGGAGGAAUACCGAUGGCGAAGGCAGCCCCCUGGGCCAAUACUGACGCUCAUGCACGAAAGCGUGGGGAGCAAACAGGAUUAGAUACCCUGGUAGCCCACGCCCUAAACGAUGUCAACUAGUUGUCGGGCCUUCAUUGGCUUGGUAACGUAGCUAACGCGUGAAGUUGACCGCCUGGGGAGUACGGUCGCAAGAUUAAAACUCAAAGGAAUUGACGGGGACCCGCACAAGCGGUGGAUGAUGUGGAUUAAU
rnacentral:rRNA from 1 species